AUUCGGGACCCCUAGUCGGAGGGUGAUUUACACGUCAGUUGCAGCGCGUUGGUCAAUGUUCCAGGCUGUCAGCUCGGCACCGCCCUCAGGGCUCAAGCUACACAGGGCAUUGAAAGGUAACUGAGGUGACUUAACAAUGAAACAAGUCAGAAAUGUCCUGAUAGAGACCAAAGGAAGACAAUAUUUCAGACUCCUCUGGAGAGGAAAGCAUCUUCUGGCUCAAUUAGCAUGCUAAAGAAUGGGUUUGGUUUCGUGCUCCAUUAAAGUCAACUAAAUAGAUGCGCUGCAUGUCUUUAUUUCAAAAAUAAAGCUGAACAAUUAAAUCCCGUGUCUCUUUGCUCAGUUUUUGAUCCCACACAAAGCUUUCCCACUUGCUGCCUUUGGAUGUAAUGUUAACAAAGUCAGUUAACAUCAAGCACUGCAGUAACAGGCAUGGCAGAAUUCCUUGUUUUUGCUCAAUCAGUCUGUGUUCAAACUAUCAGUUUGAUUUAUUUGUCCACAUUGACCCUUAUUCACCACUUAAUUAUCCUCGUAUAAUGUUUCAAGAGGCUCCUGACACAAGGAGAAAGACAAUCGCCGAUGUUCUGUAAAACAACGGUUGACCUGAUGGGCCCAGAUGAAGACCGUGGGUCGGAGUUUGUUUGCUUUUGGAAGAACCCACUUCUCCUGUCCGAGAGCUGCAUCCAGAGCCACUCGCUGUGGGUGCCACAGGCUGGCCGGUCAAGCUGUUCGUCAGGUUCUCAAACUGUGAGCUGACCAUCACCACGGGAUAGUCAUGGCGUUUUGCUCUAUUGGCCUCUCCAAAUCCCCCGGUAUGUUGGGUGUAUUAGAGUUCAGAAAAAAACAAAACCCAUGCACCCACUAACACACAAACACACACACACACACACACACACACACACUGAACCUCAAUUUCAGCAAUGUCUUUAUUAGUAUAUGGUUACUGCUGUGAUUAGAAAUACAUUUUCUCACUUUGUGUAUGAACAGGAAAGGUUUUCGAAUCACAGGUAUGAAAUGAGAAAUAAUAUUUAAACAUUGAACUGCUUCAUAUUGUAGUUGAUCUCUAAGCUCCUGCUCAUAAACCAGAUGAAUUAUAAUUUUAUUGGAAAAUAAACCAAUGUCUUUUAUACCUAGCCAGAAAUACUAUUUAUUGUAAUAGGUUUCAUGUGAAAUUAAGACAAUUAUUUUAGAACUGUUGAAAUCUGACAACUAUUCUAUAUUCAUAGCCCUUAACAUUCAAAUAUAAAUUACUGAUAGUUAAAAACAGAUAAUAAACAUCAACAUUUCUAGAAAAACAGCCCAUAUAAAUAUAAAAUCAUAAUUUUAUAUUUUGAAGUGAUUUUCUAUAAAAAUUUUAAAUCUUUUAUGGCAAGUUGAGCCCAUAUUUCAUUUGGCUACACCUUAGUAUGCAUAAAUGGUUUUUGCAACACCCUACUAACCUUGGUUUGUCAUUUUAAUUUUUUACACAUUUUCCUCUCCUGUUUAGUACAUUUUCCAUCUUAUUAAAUUUUACUCUGCACAGUUACCAAUGCAAAUGACAGCCUAAUUGUUUUUCAUACAUUAAAAAUGUUCAUCAAUGUCGUUUGAACCUAAAAUUAGAAAAUCAUACUCUAACAUAGCCUCCAUGUGUUGGUGACGUUUAUUCUUUUGUGUCUUAGCCUUUCUCUGUGAUGGACAUAUGAUCACAAAUGUUGCUGCACAGAAACAAUAACACAAGAAUUAGAUAAAUGACAGAUGACAAUUUCAAAAUGAAAAAUAUCAAAUAUUUCUAAAAGCUACUUGGUAGGAUUUUUUUUACUGCUGUAACUGUAACCAAAACUCUGAGAAGCAUUUUUGGAAGCCCCAGUUACCAGUAUGAAAGCCACCAGAAUAGAGUCUUGUACAUGCCACAACCCCGAACUCUCAUUCCGUCAUCCUGGGGAGGUCUGAGAUCCCAGCAGAGAUGGUCUGGUGGCCAGUGACCUUCUAUUUGAUUUGGUGCAGAGGGACUGAGCAUCUGGAGGCCAACCACGUGGCCUGGGCGUCCCACUCAAACUUGCUAGCUGCAAUUUCCUCAUCAUCGAGGACUUUCUAUCUUCUGAGGUUGGAUACAGAGUCCCCAGGAGUCCCGGUAGUGUUCAAGAUGACACAAGUCUGAGAGGACAUGAGCUGAGCCAGGCACACCAGUGACCUGCAGGCCUGCACACCCAGCUUUGACCAGGGUGGAUCCACUUUUUUCAGUUCUUUUCCAUAUCAGAUUUUUUUUUCCAGAAUGAAGUGUCCUGUGGCCUUUAAAGAGUUUUGUUUUGUUUUGUUUUGUUUUGUUUUAAGACCUGAAUAUAGAGGCCUUCCAGCUCUGGGAUUAUGUAACUCUAGGAAUAAAAUCAUAGUUCUUACAGCUGAAAGAAUACAAUAAGACAAAGUAGAAUAGGCAAAAAACCUGAGGUGGAAAAUCUGGCCUCCGUGUUGUCCCUUAAACAGGCUCACCGUCCUUCCAAUGGGUUCAAUUAUUUGCUACUGAAGAAAUCAUUCCGUAUGUUCCCCUGUCUGCAAACACACGGGCCUGAGAUCCCCUAAGUAAGAACACCAGUGGCAAGAUGAAGACACAAUCAGGGACUUGUUCCAACAUGGACUCCUGCUCUAAGAAAGCCCACAAAGCUGCUCUCUCUGUUCUGGCCUUGCUGUCUAAUACCAAGGAAUUUUCAUGACAUGUUCCAAUAGAAAUGACCAAAAUAAAAAUCUCUCUGAGAAAAAUGCCGCCCUCUUCUAAAAAUUAUUGUUGUUGUUGCUUUAUCUCAUUUUUCUGCUCAAUGUUUCUUUCUACCUGAAAACAAAUUUUUUAAUCUGAAAAAAUAAUUUGCUUUCAACUCUUUUUGCUACCUCCACCUGUUUCCUCCCAAAUCAGGUCUGUGUCAAAAG
rnacentral:lncRNA from 10 species